rnacentral:rRNA from 1 species
UACAGAGGGGGCAAGCGUUGUUCGGAAUUACUGGGCGUAAAGGGCGCGUAGGCGGCCCGCUAAGUCGAACGUGAAAUCCCCGGGCUCAACCCGGGAACUGCGUCCGAUACUGGUGGGCUCGAAUCCGGGAGAGGGAUGCGGAAUUCCAGGUGUAGCGGUGAAAUGCGUAGAUAUUAGGAAGAACACCGGUGGCGAAGGCGGCCCACUGGAUCGGUACUGACGCUGAGGUGCGAAAGCGUGGGGAGCAAACAGG